UUGUUUCUUCCUUAACCGAACCCACAAGAAGCUUCCAACCAUGAAUACACCUCCUGAUCAGCCAAGGUAAUGAUGAAGCAUACAUAGGUGUUGCAUGGAGCAGAGACCAGCGAAGCCUUCACCACCUCUUCUUCUGAUUAUAUAAGCACCACUCUUCCUUCCUUGAAUUCACAGAAAGCAGAGAGAGGGCAAGGAACGAGGAACAGUCAAAGCACCAGUAAGCAAGAACAGGAGCGUUUUUCAAGUUUUCUGGCUCUUCAUCAACCACAGCACCAAGAAAAGAAGAAUGAUAGCCAAGGAAGGAGCUGAUCGAAGCUGAAAAGGGAGCUGCAUUCCACUCACCCAACUGUUCUUCGAGCUUCUCUGCUAGGUGACGAUAGCAACUUCAUCUUCUUCCUUUCCUCCUCUAAUUCAAAAUUUUGAUCCUUCCCUUGCUUCAUUCUCCUAGUUUACUCAAUUUCUGUUAACAUAACUAGCAUCACAAGCAAAGAGAAGUGAGUGAUUUUCCCUCCUCUGUGUUUAAUUUGGCCGAAUGGCCUGGUGAAAUGUAACCAAAACUCCUUGGAAUGGUUAGGGUUCGGGUUCAAGGGAGAAUCAGGGACAAGUUUUGUGCUUUUGAUCAACAAAGAGAUAGAGAUAAACUUGGCAGCUGAUGACUUGAGUUUAGAGAUGUCUGGAGGAGUUAGUGAAGAAUCUUCGUAGGAUCACUUUUGAGUAAAUGACAGGCACUCUCUAUCUGGAUCUGUACGACCUUGAUCCUUAGUGAUACAUUUCCCUCUCUUUUGAUAUUGUUUUGAGAAGUGUUAAUUCAUUAUAAAUCAACUUGCAUCACUAGAAUUUUUAUGAAGAGUUUUUGAAGUAAAAA